UCCUCCUCUCUCCCGCUCGCCGGAGCGUCGCUGCGGUGCUUCCUCCGUGCGCUCUGCCCCCGCAGCGCGCUCCUCCGGUCUGUCGCCUGACGCGGCAGGAACAGGCCCACGUCUCUCGUCGUCGACGAGGCGGUGGCUCGGAGUUGGAGCGGUAGCGGCGCCCUCGGAUCCGGCGGCGGGGAUCCCGCGGGAUGCUCGGGAGGGGAAUGUGGGUCCCUUUUUGAGGCGGGUUCGGUCUGGGAGGCCGCGGCGAGAUGAUGCGUUCAAGUGGAGGCCCAACUUGCUGAACUGGAGAUAAAAAGGUUGGGUGCCUUCAGUCAGUGAGCUGAGGUCGUGUAGAUCAAGGGACUGAUGCCUGCCGGAGAAUGGCUGGGAAUGAUGAAGUUUACCUGAAACCUGUUUCAUGCGGGUCAAGGUUACGGAGGAGUGGUGAUGCAUCAUUAAGGUUGGGAGGGUCUAUGAGAGACCCUUUUUUGAAGCACAAAGUGAAGAAGUUUGAUCUAUCUAGCCUAAAUUGGAUUGAUGAGAUUCAAGAAUGUCCUGUGUUUUCUCCAUCAAUAGAGGAGUUUGAGGAUCCACUUGUUUAUCUCAGUAAAAUUGCCCCUGUUGCUGCAAAAUAUGGUAUAUGCAAGAUUGUUUCACCUCUCUGUGCUUCUGUACCUGUUGGAGCUGUACUUAUGAAGGAACAAGGUGGGCUAAAAUUUACUACCAGAGUGCAGCCUCUCCGCCUUGCUGAAUGGUCCAAGGAUGACAAGUUUGCUUUCUUCAUGAGUGGAAGAAAGUACACAUUUCGAGAUUUUGAGAAGAUGGCAAAUAAAGAAUUUGUUCGAAGAUACUCAAGUGCUGCUUGUCUUCCACCAAGAUAUAUGGAAGAAGAAUUCUGGCAUGAAAUAGCCUUUGGCAAGAUGCAGUCUGUUGAGUAUGCAUGUGAUAUUGAUGGUAGUGCAUUCUCUUCUUCUCCUAAUGAUCAACUGGGCAUAAGCAAAUGGAACUUGAAGAGACUUUCUCGGUUGCCCAAAUCAACUCUGCGUCUCCUCAGAGCAGCAAUUCCAGGAGUAACAGAUCCAAUGCUAUAUAUUGGAAUGCUCUUUAGUAUGUUCGCAUGGCACGUGGAAGAUCAUUACUUGUACAGCAUUAACUAUCAUCACUGUGGGGCGUCAAAAACAUGGUACGGGAUCCCGGGAAAAGCUGCUCUGGAUUUUGAGAAAGUGGUACAUGAGCAUGUGUACAAUCAUGAAAUUUUAUCAGGAGAAGGGGAAAAUGCAGCAUUUGAUGUCCUUUUGGGAAAGACUACAAUGUUUCCUCCAAAUAUUCUGUUGCAUCAUCAUGUUCCUGUCUAUAGAGCAGUACAGAAACCUGGAGAGUUUGUUAUCACAUUUCCUCGAGCUUAUCAUUCAGGUUUCAGUCAUGGUUUUAAUUGUGGGGAGGCAGUGAAUUUCGCUAUUGGAGAAUGGUUUCCUCUGGGAGCACUUGCUAGUCAGCGUUAUGCACAUCUAAAGAGGACACCAUUACUGCCAUAUGAGGAACUUCUUUGUAAAGAGGCGACACUUCUUGGUCAUGAAUUUUCUACCUGUGAUUAUAAAGAUACAAUAGCAUUAACUGGAGAUGCGCACAGUCAACGAUGUAUGAAAGUCCCUUUUGUGCAGUUGAUGAGGGUCCAACAUCGUAUCCGUUGGUUCCUUAUGAAAAUGGGUGCUCGCACACAUUAUAAAGCAGAUAUUGAUGCCACAAUUCUCUGUGGAAUAUGUAGACAUGACUGCUAUGUUGCCCACAUUAUGUGUAACUGCAGAAUUGAUGCGAUUUGCCUUUGCCAUGAGGAGGAGAUUAGGAAGUGCCCUUGCAGUUGUGAUCGUGUUGUAUUUGUGAGGAAAGAUAUCUUUGAACUGGAGAUGAUAUCAAAAAAGUUUGAGGAAAGUGGAAUACUGGAUGCAGUCAAAAAGCAAAUGUCUCGAAGUGACGGGCCUAGUCAGCAUUCUAACUUGUUUAACUGUAUUGAUCAUGAAGCUGAGUACCACCCAUACUCCAAGAUUCGCAUAGAUUCAUCGCCUGAAGUAUAUAGCAUUUCAGAGACAAAUUUUAUUCGUUAUGACUUGAACAAUCCACAUCCUGCUGCAUCAACAGUAACAUUUUCUUCCGUACCCCAUGAGUAUUCUACACAAAGUGAUGAGUGUACGAGUUCUAACAGAAGAACCUUCUCUAGUUCUUGUCUCGAGAAUACAAUUACCCCUGAAAAUGCAAUUAGUAAUGCUUACCCGUUAUCUACUCCUGAUCGAGCAUGUCUGUCUGACAAAUUGGCUAUACACGACACUGAUGAUUCUGACUAUGAGAUAUUUAGAGUAAAGAGAAGAUCUGGCCUAACUCCUGAGAAAAGACACAUGGAAGAUGGAACAGCAAAUUUCACUGAGAAUCAGGUAUUGAAACGGCUGAAGAAAAUUAAUGGACGUGACAGACAUGAACAAAAGUUGCCUGAACUAUCCUGUGGUGCAAGUGAACAUGUCCAUACAGAUUAUUAUAGGCAUUGUGCUGACUUUAUUUCUGAAAAUGGAGAUGACUUCAUAGACCCAACCAAAUUGAAGAUGGUACAUCAACUAGAUGCAAAUAUUGUAGAGGAUGAAGUUGCUUCCAGUCAGAAAUAUAAUAGUUACAACUACCAAUCUCCAUCUAUAGAGCUUGGGCCAAAACGCUUGAAAAUUCGUGGCCCGUCUUUUCCCAGCAGAAGUUCUGACCUGGAGGUAUCUUGUAGAUUCCAGGACAAUGACUUGGGUAGCCAGCAUGCUCGAUGAAGACUGCUAGGCCGUUGGUUCUAACACUAAGUUAACAAACAGCAUUCCUAACUUCUGGAAGCUGAAAGCUCCUUCUAGCCAAAGGUUUCCAAUUUGUUGGUCGGUCAGUUGGUAACAGAUCGCAGAUUUGAUUCUUCUGCGGGCCUCCAAUAGAGGCAUUGACAUGGGUUCAUGGCUGGAUUCUUGAUUUUAUUGCUGGGUCACAUUUGUGGUGGGGGGGCCUGAAAGCAGUAGGCAGACAAUUCCGAUGUUUUUCCACUGUACAUCUUCACGUACAUCUCCUUUCAACUUUCUCUUAGGUUUUCCACUGUGAAGAGGUUGAAACUUUGACUGUCGGUAGUUGGACCACGGCACGGUGCAGUGGGGGCCAUGCAGCGGGGAGCCGUAUGAUGGGUGGGUCCAGGCGGCCAUGACCCGAUGACGCCCACCGAUCCAUCCACGCUGCUCAGCUCACGGUGGUGGGGCACUUGGUACAGUCCAUGCAGGUAACCCGCUCCUUGGGCAUUAUGUGCCACCGCUUCUCUCAUUUACAACUCCGUCCGAGGCCGGCCGGCCGGGUCGGUCUCGCUGCUGCUGUCCCCGUCCGCGCACAUGGCGUGAUGUUGGAGAUUGUUCCGCUAGCUUGAGGUCACCACCAGCUUUGCUGCUGCUCCCUUUCUUCUCUCUGAGAACUCAGCAAGUAUACUUCCAUGCUUCGGUGAGAUAACUACUACCAUUGAUGCUUUGCAUGCAUGUGUGUCUCCUACGCUUCGGUACGUGAUGCAUGCAUGUGUGUUCCCCUAUUCUUUUCUCUUCUUAUAAGCUUGGUUUUUCAUAGGUGUAUCACACGGAAGCAUGCAGUUGGUGAAUAAAUUGAUAGGAGUAUUACGACUAGUUCAAUAUGUCUUGAAAGGGAUGAGCAUUUUGGUUUAAUUGGGAGGGCGAUGUGUGCCUGCAACGUCAAUUUUUGGUCGAGCAAGGCAACAAUGCCUCUGUAUCUGUAUGCUCAAAACCAGGGACCAUGCAUGCAUGCUGCAUGUCUGUUUCUUGUCCAAAUAUAAUAAGCUCACAGGAAUAAUAGUGUCACAGAAAGUCAGAAAUAAACAGACACCUCCACCUUAUUAUUGUCCAUCUCUGGACUCUGGACAUCGAUCUGAUUAUUAUGCUUGUACUCGACGCAAAUAU